rfam:Ciona savignyi cont_55262, whole genome shotgun sequence.
GCUUAUCACCAUUCCAGAUUGAAUAUACCCGAUCUCGUUUGAUCUCGGAAGUCAAGCAACCUCGGGCUUGGUUAGUACUUGGAUGGGUGACCGCUUGGGAAUACCAAGUGUGAUAAGCA